UACGGAGGGGGCUAGCGUUGUUCGGAAUUACUGGGCGUAAAGCGCGCGUAGGCGGACCUGCAAGUCGGGGGUGAAAGCCCGAGGCUCAACCUCGGAACUGCCUUCGAUACUGUCGGUCUCGAGUCCGGGAGAGGUGAGUGGAAUUCCUAGUGUAGAGGUGAAAUUCGUAGAUAUUAGGAAGAACACCAGUGGCGAAGGCGGCUCACUGGCCCGGUACUGACGCUGAGGCGCGAAAGCGUGGGGAGCAAACAGG
rnacentral:rRNA from 1 species